CCCUUAGAUGUUCUGGGCCGCACGCGCGCUACAAUGAUGAAUUCAACGAGUUUAUAACCUUGGUUGAAAAGCCUGGGUAAUCUUUUGAACUUUCGUCGUGAUGGGGCUAGACCCUUGCAAUUAUUGGUCUCCAACGAGGAAUUCCUAGUAAACGCAAGUCAUCAGCUUGCAUUGAUUACGUCCCUGCCCUUUGUACACACCGCCCGUCGCGCCUACCGAUUGAAUGGUCCGGUGAAAUCUUCGGAUUGAGACUUUGAUUUCUUCACGGAAAACGUUGUUUUAUAAAGUUGAUUAAACCUUACCAUUUAGAGGAAGGUGAAGUCGUAACA
rnacentral:rRNA from 1 species